GCCGGCAUCCUCGAGGCGCGACCGCCCUUCUACGAGCCAGAGUCGACUCAAGUGGUGCGCGCAAGGAAAUUUAUUUCUGGGUGUGCUGAGCUGUUAGGCCUAAGUCGAAAUCCUCAGCUAAACAAGGCCUCAGCUUAACACAUAAAAAGGUGUUCAAUCUCGCCCACAAUGUCCUCUUCUUUCCUCUUCCUUUAUUGGAACUUGUUUUGCAGACAAGGAAAGUGGCACGUGUAAUGUGAGUAAAACCCUCUUAGCCAAAAUCAGCUACGAGCAAGAUUUUAUGUAUUGUAGAUUCCCCAAUUGACUCUCAUCCCCAAUGUAGUCUUUUUUAUGUCAGUAUAGACUUCUUUACUGGAUGUAUACUAUCGUACAUGGCAUGCAUUUGCCUAAUGAGGAGCAUUGUAUUGCCAUUCUA